UACGUAGGGACCGAGCGUUGUCCGGAAUCAUUGGGCGUAAGAGCGUGUAGGCGGCCACUUAAGUCCUGCGUGAAAUCUUGCGGCUCAACCGCAAGCGGUCGUGGGAAACUGGGUGGCUAGAGUGCGGGAGAGGAGAGUGGAAUUCCUGGUGUAGCGGUGGAAUGCGCAGAUAUCAGGAAGACACCGCGUGGAAGGCGGCUCUCUGGAACGCAACUGACGCUGAGACGCGAAAAGCGUGGGGAGCAAACAGG
rnacentral:rRNA from 1 species